rnacentral:tmRNA from 3 species
GGGGGCGUUUUAGACUCGCUCGGGGGAGCAAUGGUAAGAGUUGCGUGUCGAGAUCCCGCUUGACCUCGUUAAACAGCGGACAAACAAUAACUGACAAAACAAAUUACGCUUUAGCAGCUUAAGCUGCUACAUCCUGCCUUCUGUGUCUGCGGUGAAGAGUUCAGGGUGUCAAAACAGCAGGCUAUCCUGUGAGACCACCGUCUGAGGUCAAUCAGGUAAACGAAUCAGACUGGCUUCAAAGGAAUCCCGCUUUCAGGAGUCCAGCGAAGCGAGAAGUAAAAUGAGAGCUACACACGUAGAUACUUUUGGUAUUGUCUUUCGAUACAGGGGUGCAAGUCCCCUCGCCUCCACCA